GCCGUACUCCAAGUACCAUGAUCUGCUUCAGGGGAGAAGCAAGAUCAGCAGGACACAGUUCUUGCUUUCAAGGAAUUUGUAGACUCAGGACGUGUUAUUAAAUGAACCAUUGCGUGCAGUGUUAUGUGCACUUACGAAAGUCUGUGCAAAACCCAGAAUGUACCUAGGGGAAGGAAUUCUGCCUGGGGAGGUGAAGAGAGCCACCAAGGACAUGCUCUGGAUGACAAAAUGGGAGGCAGGAAGGAACAUCUGGACGAAGGCAGAGACAGAAUCAGUCGAGCUGAUGAAGAUGCUUCCCAGUUUGGCCACCACUGUGCACCCAUGAUCACAUGUGCAGAAGUGAGUUCUACACUGAAGUUGAAGUGAAUUUAGUGGGAACUUCAAAUAAUUGUUUCUCAUUACCAAAAAUAAAUUCCUAUAAGGUGCUACGAAAUGUAAGGAAAUUCAAUAAGGUGAAUUCAGUGUGUGUGUGUGUGUGUGUGUGUUUGGUUAUGCAUGCAAGUGUGUGUUUGACUGCUUAUGCAGAUGUGUAUUUGGGUGUGCAUACCUGUGUGUGUCUGGAUAUUCAUGUAUGUGUGCACUUGGAUGCCCGUGCACGUGUGUGUUUGAGUGCACAUGUAUAUAUAUGGGUGUAGAGACUAGACAGCAAUCAAGGUUUUAUUCCUCAGGAGCUCUCUGCCUGCCUGUUUGUUUGUUUGUUGGGGUUGCUCAUCCUGGAGCUCACUGAACAGGGUAGCUUGGCUGGCCAGCAGGUCCACAGACCCAGCUUUACCUCCCCAGUGGGAUCAUGAGUGCACACCACCAGACCUAGCCUUUACAGGUUCUAGGGAUCAAACCCAGGUCUUAUGCUUGCAAGGCAAAUGCUUUACCAGCAGAGUCUGCACAAACUGUGUGUUUAAAGCGUGUCUUCCCAUGAACAGCAUGGGCUGGUUAUAUCUAGGGAAGACAGAGGACUGACACUUAGGUACACACUCACCUUGCCUUCUUCCUCCCAACUUUGGUGCCUGCAUUAGUCUAACUUUGUCGGCCUUUCCCUAUUCAUUCUCAAGCCACUGUUCUCUUGGUGUCUAACUGCCUCCUGAGUAGAAACCUCGUUCUCACCAGGCACCAGAGAAACAGGAUGUUUCAUUUUGACUCACGCUUGAGAUCACAGGGCUCCACUAUCAAGUCCAUUUUCCAGG
rnacentral:lncRNA from 1 species